GUCGCUGCCAAAGGUGCUUCAACAAAGUAUUGAGUAAAGGUAUUUCAGUGUGGAGUCAAUUGAGGGGACUAGGCUGUUUCAUGAAGCCAUUAGAAGACUGUUGCUGAUUGAGAGCACGUAGCCCAGCGGCUAAGGAGGUGGACCUGUGGCCGACCAGUGGCCGGUUCAAAUCCCGGGCCGGGCAUUGGAUUUUCUUUUUAUCUGACAACUGGAGGGCUGCUGGGUUCAUAUCCUCAAAACAUUCCCCUACCGUUGGGCCCUUGAGCAAGGCCCUUAACCCCACAACAUGCUCUCCAUCCAGGGGCGCUGCAUGCAGCUUGAACCUGUGCUGGUCUCAACUGUAAGUGUGAUGUCUGCUGUUUGGGGGGGUUGAGAAUGGAGCAGAAGACACAUUUUUGUUUUUCACUGUAACUAAUGGAAAAGUAUAUUGUAUUGUCAGCCAGAGUUGACGUGGGCAUCCUUCAAACACAGUGCAUAUUUCCAAACUAUGUUUGCCUAUACACUACCAGUCAAAAGUUUGGACACACCUACUCA